rnacentral:misc_RNA from 1 species
CUAGAAUAGAAGUUGGGUGGCAUUCGAGAAUCAACAGCUACUUGUAUAGAUGAAGAAGCCUUUGUAAAUGCAGAAGCACCUACACCAGAACUAACUGCUGCUGCAGGCGAAGCAAACAUAGUGGAAGUUUUAGGAUGGAAAUUUUUCAUGUCCUCGUACUGAUCAUUGAAUUUCCUGUCCGAAGUUAUACUAGGUUCUCGAGCCAACGGCAGAUCGGGACGAGAAACCGACAUCCUAGAAGAAAAUUCACUUUGGGCAUUUUCAUCAGCAUUUGAGGCAACAGGUGUACCCCGCUGGGAGAACUGACUAGUUUCAUUCACCUCGCCUUCUGUCUCUUCAACGAUUGACCGAGGAGAGUUUUGUUCAACAACUACAGGUGCAGGUUGGUGUAGAUUAUCAUCUGGCUGAGGAAAAGGCAGUUUAUCAUCAGGUUCAGAUUCCUCUGCAUCAAAUACAAUAUCAAUUCCCUGGAGAUCAUCGUCAGGAUCAGACUUCAUGGGAUGAGAUUUACUUGACUUCUCCGCAUCUGUUUGUUUUUCAGGUAUUGCUGCUUUCUCUUGUGCAGCAGCUGAAUCAGAAACCAAAAUCCCCGGAGGAUUUUGGCGUUCUCUUUGCCGAGCCAUGAAUUCAUCCACGUGAAUAGACGGUGGUCUCCCACUGGUAGAUCCUAUUCGUGGGACUGCUAUUACAUUAGG